rnacentral:rRNA from 1 species
UUGGAGGGCAAGUCUGGUGCCAGCAGCCGCGGUAAUUCCAGCUCCAAUAGCGUAUAUUAAAGUUGUUGCAGUUAAAAAGCUCGUAGUUGAAUUUCGGGAUUGGCGCAUCGGUCGUGCCUCACGGGGUAUGAACUGGUGCAGUCAAUUUCUCACCUUCUGGAGAACCGCGAUGUCCUUAAUUGGAUGCCGCGGGGGAACCAGGACCUUUACUUUGAAAAAAUUAGAGUGUUUAAAGCAGGCAUUUUUGCUUGAAUACAUUAGCAUGGAAUAAUAAAAUAGGACGGCAUGGUUCUAUUUUGUUGGUUUCUAGGACCACCGUAAUGAUUAAUAGGGAUAGUUGGGGGCAUUAGUAUUCAAUUGUCAGAGGUGAAAUUCUUGGAUUUAUUGAAGACUAACUACUGCGAAAGCAUUUGCCAAGGAUGUUUUCAUUAAUCAAGAACGAAAGUUAGGGGAUCGAAGACGAUCAGAUACCGUCGUAGUCUUAACCAUAAACUAUGCCGACUAGGAAUCAGACGAUGUUAAUUUUUUAAUGACUCGUUUGGCACCUUACGGGAAACCAAAGUGUUUGGGUUC